AGAGUUUGAUCCUGGCUCAGGAUGAACGCUAGCUACAGGCUUAACACAUGCAAGUCGAGGGGAAACGACAUCGAAAGCUUGCUUUUGAUGGGCGUCGACCGGCGCACGGGUGAGUAACGCGUAUCCAACCUGCCCACCACUUGGGGAUAACCUUGCGAAAGUAAGACUAAUACCCAAUGACGUCUCUAGAAGACAUCUGAAAGAGAUUAAAGAUUUAUCGGUGAUGGAGUGGGGAUGCGUCUGAUUAGCUUGUUGGCGGGGUAACGGCCACCGAAGGCGACGAUCAGGUAGGGGUUCGUGAGAGGACGGUCCCCCACAUUGGAACUGACGACGACGGUCCAAACUCCGUACGGCAGGC
rnacentral:rRNA from 1 species